GUCUAUUUCACCUACAGAAGUUGGCCUAGUAAAAGAUAUUACCUCACCCAUGGGUACUAUGGGCUUGAUUCUGCAAGAUGUCGAGCACUCUGGCCCAGGUCCAGCAAAACAUUUAAGGAUGUGUUUAAGCAUAUGAGUCUGGUAGGUGCAUGGCUAUGGAAAUUAGAUGAUGUAAUGUUAAUACAGAAAUAACGAUGCUAUUUCCUGGGUUAGAAUUCUGAACAUGCUCCGUGCCAACGAGGUAUUUCCAGAAGCCUGAGGAGACUGAAGAUGAGCUGAGCCCUCAUGCCAUUAAUAAAAACGCUGUCUUCUCUCCAAGCAGCCUGACUCCUGAGUUCUUACUAAAUAUUACAUGGCAUCAGAAGUUGCACUGAAUCAAGGAUGGAGCAACUGCUUCCCCUAUGGACCAGACAAUACCAAGGUCUCAAUGUCAGGCGGAAGGUAAAUGAGCCCCAGAACAUCUGAAAGGUUGCUAAUGAUGAUGACUACCCUGUCAAAUCUUUGUAUGGGGGAUCUGCACAUCCUGUUUACGUGCUCACACUCAGAAGAGCACAGGCUGAUUGCCAGGUUGUCUAAAUUCAGUGAUACUUGGCUUUUUGCUCUUCCCUUGUCUAAGCCACUGGUGAGUGGGUGCUACAGGUUCCCGUCUGUGCUGAUCUGCAGAAGACAAGAGUUUUUGCAGCCACAAGCUGAAGGAGCAGAGCAGAGCUACAAUGUAGGAUAGUGCUCAGUCAGAUCUAUCAAAGAGACCAUAUGGCAUCCCGAAGCUACAGUAUCAGGACCAUGCAUGCUACAAUAGCUUCUGGGAAAACAUGUCUUUUUAUGACAUGCUGCAAGCAAACACUGAUUCUCCAAAGGGACUUCUCUGAUAAUAAAGAUGGGAAGAGGAGGAGGAGGAGGAAGAUGAAAAAACAACGCCAGAUGCUUGAAUUGUGUUAAUUGUGUUAAUUACAUCA